GACGAACGCUGGCGGCGUGCUUAACACAUGCAAGUCGAACGGUAAGGCCCUUCGGGGUACACGAGUGGCGAACGGGUGAGUAACACGUGGGUGAUCUGCCCUGCACUUCGGGAUAAGCCUGGGAAACUGGGUCUAAUACCGGAUAGGACUCCGGACUGCAUGGGCUGGGGUGGAAAGCUUUUGCGGUGUGGGAUGGGCCCGCGGCCUAUCAGCUUGUUGGUGGGGUGAUGGCCUACCAAGGCGACGACGGGUAGCCGGCCUGAGAGGGUGACCGGCCACACUGGGACUGAGAUACGGCCCAGACUCCUACGGGAGGCAGCGGUGGGGAAUAUUGCACAAUGGGCGCAAGCCUGAUGCAGCGACGUCGCGUGAGGGAUGACGGCCUUCGGGUUGUAAACCUCUUUCAGCAUCGACGAAGCGAAAGUGACGGUAGGUGCAGAAGAAGGACCGGCCAACUACGUGCCAGCCGCCGCCGUAA
rnacentral:rRNA from 1 species